UUUUAACCCGUUCAUUUUGUAAAAAGAAAACGAGCGAAAACCCUAAGCCCCAAAUUGAUGCGAUUUGCACACAAAAAUCAGUGAUUAAUCUCUUCGAUUUGGCUCAAAAUUGUUCAAGAUAGUUGUUGAAGCUUUAAGGACUUGACGAUUUAUCCAUUCUUCUCCCUCAAUUUAGCCGAGGUUGUAUUUGAAACAUGUGAAUAUUGAAGAAGGGGGGCCUAUUGCUGGCAUUGUUUUGGGACCACUGGUUGGUGGAAAAAAUAAUGAAGAAUUGGGGGAUAGCUUUAGGGUUUCACAACUUGAGGAGAGUAUAAAUAAGACCUUAAAUGAAGCAGCUGAAGUUAAACAACAAGUUGAAAUAGAAGAUAGUAAUUUCUUGACUUUGGAGAGGAUGAUUUAAAUGGUGUUCCAGAUGAGGAUUAUAGUGAAGUUGAUGAAGAAUUGAGAAUUUUUAGAAAACUUCUUAGGCAACAAAAGAGAAAUGACCCUGCCAAGCUAAAAAAUAAAGGCAAAAAACCUUGUAAGCCUCAAGAGGUUAAGCUUGGAGAAGCUAGAAUAGAUAGGGGAUUUGAAGAUAUUUUCAAGAAUAAGGAAAAAAAAAUUGUUGGUAGAUUGUGUGGUGAUGAAGAGUACAUUGAUUCAUCAGAUGAACCAAGUGAAGAUAGUGAUGAAGAGCUAGAUGUUCUAGCACAACCAGGCGUUGAUUGACCUUCAAGAAGAAAAAGUAAAAAGCUAAGGUAUGAUGAUUCUGCUGCCAUUUCUUUCUUUGAAUUGGGUAUGAUAUUUGCAAGUGCAAAAGAGUUUAGGAAAGCAGUGGCUGACUAUGCUAUUCAAGAGAAGGUUCAAUUAUGCACAGCCAAAUAUGUUGCUAGUAAGAUGCAGGAUAGAAUAAUAUCUCAGCUUGACAUUAGAGUUCAUAAGCUUCAAGAGGAACUAAGACUACAUUGGGGGUUACAUGUGGGAAGAUCAGUCUGUUAUAGGGCCAAAAUGCAGGUUAUUAGUAAGUUCAUGCUUGAUUGGAAGCUUGAGUUUUCAAGGUUGUUAGACUAUGCAGAUAUGAUUAAGAAUACAAAUCCUGGGACUUCUUGUUGGGUGAGAAUUGAUAAUGAAACAGAACCUGGCAAACACUUGUUCAAAUAUUUCUAUGUUUGCUUUGGUGCAUUGAAGAAUGGAUGGCUAGAAGGUUGUAGGUGUUACGAUUCAUUUUUACGCGGGUUAAGGCAUAAAAGUUCUUUACGAGGUUGUUGGUCUUUCUAGUUAAAUUUUAGUAAUUUUUAGAGUCGCCACCUAAUUUAUUAUGUAAACCUAGGAAAAUUGGGUUUAAAGAUUUUUUCAAAAUAAGUAAAAAUCUUUUGGACCAAAGUUCGAGGUAAGGUUUUGGUGAUCCCCUGGGGAAGGUUUUACGCACCCUAGUAUUAAAGAUCCGUAGAAUACGGUUGACCUACGAGCUUCAAUGUGUGAUUAAUGUACUUAUUUGUUUAAAAAUAUUUAAUUUUUUGCAAAAUAUCAUUUUUUUAUUCA